rnacentral:rRNA from 1 species
CCUACGGGAUGCAGCAGUGAGGAAUAUUGGUCAAUGGACGAGAGUCUGAACCAGCCAAGUAGCGUGAAGGAUGACUGCCCUAUGGGUUGUAAACUUCUUUUAUAUGGGAAUAAAACGUUCCACGUGUGGGAUUUUGUAUGUACCAUAUGAAUAGGGAUCGGCUAACUCCGUGCCAGCAGCCGCGGUAAUACGGAGGAUCCGAGCGUUAUCCGGAUUUAUUGGGUUUAAAGGGAGCGUAGGUGGAUUGUUAAGUCAGUUGUGAAAGUUUGCGGCUCAACCGUAAAAUUGCAGUUGAAACUGGCAGUCUUGAGUACAGUAGAGGUGGGCGGAAUUCGUGGUGUAGCGGUGAAAUGCUUAGAUAUCACGAAGAACUCCGAUUGCGAAGGCAGUUCACUGGACUGCAACUGACACUGAGGCUCGAAAGUGUGGGUAUCAAACAGGAUUAGAUACCCCAGUAGUC